rnacentral:misc_RNA from 1 species
UACGGCGGGUGCAAGCGUUAAUCGAAAUUACUGGGCGUAAAGCGCGCGUAGGUGGCUUGAUAAGCCGGUUGUGAAAGCCCCGGGCUCAACCUGGGAACGGCAUCCGGAACUGUCAGGCUAGAGUGCAGGAGAGGAAGGUAGAAUUCCCGGUGUAGCGGUGAAAUGCGUCGCGAUCGGGAGGAAUACCAGUGGCGAAGGCGGCCUUCUGGACUGACACUGACACUGAGCUGCGAAAGCGUGGGUAGCAAACAGG